rnacentral:rRNA from 1 species
GCACGGUCGAAUAAAUGUGCAGUCUGGCCUGCCCCCUGAGAACUUUAAAGGGCCGCGGUAUCUGGACCGUGCUAAGGUAGCAUAAUAAAUAGUCUUUUAAUUGGAGUCUAGUAUGAAUGGUCGGACAUGAAGUAAGCUGUUUUAACUUUGAUGCUUGAAUUUUACCUUUAAGUGAAAAGGCUUAGAUUGGAUGGUGGGACGAUAAGACCCUAUAAAGCUUUACGUUUUACUUAUCAGUUGUGAGAAUUAGGGUUUCUUAUUCUUAUUGAGUAGAGCGUUCCGUUGGGGCGACGGAAAUAUAAAUAAGUAACUGUUUUUGCUUGCAAAAUAUGAUUUUAUAGAUGAGUUGAUCCUUUCUAGAGAUUAUAAGACUUGAGUUACUUUAGGGAUAACAGCGUAAUUUAUCUUGAGAGUUCAUAUCGACAGAUAUAGUUGCGACCUCGAUGUUGAAUUAAAAUACCCCCUAGGUGUAGCAGUUUCGGUGGUAGGUCUGUUCGACCUUUAAAAU